GAUGAACGCUAGCGAUAGGCUUAGCACAUGCAAGUCGAGGGGCAGCACAUGAGUGGCAACACGAUGGUGGCGACUGGCGCACGGGUGAGUAACACGUAUGCAACCUGCCCAUAACUGGGGGAUAACCCGUCGAAAGGCGGACUAAUCCCGCAUGACAACGAUGCUACGCAUGGUCAUUCGUUUAAAGCUUUACCGGUUAUGGAUGGGCAUGCGUUCCAUUAGGUAGUUGGCAGGGUAACGGCCUACCAAGCCUACGAUGGAUAGGGGUUCUGAGAGGAAGGUCCCCCACACUGGUACUGGGACACGGACCAGACUCCUACGGGAGGCAGCAGUGAGGAAUAUUGGUCAAUGGGCGAGAGCCUGAACCAGCCAAAUCGCGUGAAGGAAGAAGGCCCUACGGGUUGUAAACUUCUUUUCUGUAAGAAGAAAAGCCCCGAUGUAUCGGGGUGUGACGGUAUUAUAGGAAUAAGCAUCGGCUAACUCCGUGCCAGCCGCCGCCGUAAGAC
rnacentral:rRNA from 1 species